UGUGCUGCUGAAGAUGCCCUCUCUUAGCUUCCUGUGUUGCUGACACGCCAGGCACAUGCUGUCAUGCCGCAACGGACUCAUCCAUCUUCAACUGGUCUCUUGUACCUCAGACUAGCUUCAAACUUCCUACAUAGCUCAAGCUAGUCUUGAACUCAUGAGUGGCCUGUUUCUCCUCAAGUGCUGGGUUAUGAAUACGCACCACCUGAAUGCUUCGAGUUUUAACUGACUUUGAAAUUCUACAUGUUUAUAUACGAAAUUCCAUGGGGAGAUGCCACUCUGUCACUGGAAUGGGAAAAGAAAACAGAGACUGACAAUUGCAAGAGAUGGAGCCUCCAUAUUGUUUAAUACUUCAUUAUCAAAACAUGCAACACACAAUGAUCUUUAAAAUAUUUCGUCAAAGAGGAAAAUGAAAGUGUACUUUCAUUGACUUAAAAAAUACUGAGGUAAAAUUCUUGGAAAUUCUCAUAAAGUUCAAUAUGUCAUCAGAUGCUUGGCAAUGGUUUCUCCAUGAAGA